rnacentral:rRNA from 1 species
CCUACGGGAGGCAGCAGUAGGGAAUCUUCGGCAAUGGACGAAAGUCUGACCGAGCAACGCCGCGUGAGUCAAGAAGGUUUUCGGAUCGUAAAACUCUGUGGUAGAGAAGAACGU